AUUGAACGCUGGCGGCAGGCUUAACACAUGCAAGUCGAACGAGGGGCGGACGGGUGAGUCAUGCUUGGGAAUCUAGCUUAUGGAGGGGGAUACCUACGGGAAACUGUAGCUAAUACCGCGUACCAUAGGAUGAGCCCAAGGGGGAUAGGGUAGUGGGUGAGGUAAAGGCGUACCAAGCCGACGAUCUCUAGCUGGUCUGAGAGGAUGACCAGCCACACUGGGACUGAGACACGGCCCAGACUCCUACGGGAGGCAGCAGUGGGGAAUAUUGCGCAAUGGGGGCAACCUGACGCAGCCAUGCCGCGUGAAUGAAGAAGGCCUUCGGGUUGUAAAGUUCUUUCGGUAGCGAGGCGUUAACUACAGAAGAAGCACCGGCUAACUCCGUGCCAGCAGCCGCGGUAAUUC
rnacentral:rRNA from 1 species